GGAGGAGAGUAGAGGAGGAGAGGAGAGGAGGAGAGUAGAGUAGAGGAGGAGAGUAGAAGAGGAUAAUAGAGGUGGAGAGUAGAGUUGGAGAGUAGAGGAGGAGAGUAGAGGUGGAGAGUAGAGGAGGAGUGGGGAGGAGGAGAGUGGAGGAGGAUAAUAGAGGUGUAGAGUGGAGGAGGAUAAUAGAGGUGGAGAGGAGAGGAGGAUAAAAGAGGUGGAGAGUGGAGUAGGAGUGGGGAGGAGGAGAGUGGAGGAGGAUAAUAGAGGUGUAGAGUGGAGGAGGAUAAUAGAGGUGGAGAGGAGAGGAGGAUAAAAGAGGUGGAGAGUGGAGUAGGAGUGGGGAGGAGGAGAGUAGAGGAGGAGUGGGGAGGAGGAGAGUGGAGGAGGAUAAUAGAGGUGU
ensembl:lncRNA